GGUCGCGUGGCCCAAUGGCAAGGCGUAUGACUACGAAUCAUGAGAUUGCGGGUUCGAUCCCCGUCGUGGCCUGA